GCAUGCCUGGAUCAUAGUGUUAAUUCACCAGAACCCAUUAGAACUAUGUAUUUAAGCAUGCUCAGGCUAGAGUAGUAUUGGGAUGGGUGACCGCGCGGGAAUUCUCAGUGUUUUACAUUCC
rnacentral:rRNA from 1 species